rnacentral:tRNA from 1 species
GGGCCUCUAGCUCAAUGGGCAGAGCGCCGGCCUCAUAAGCCGAGAGGUUACGGGUUCGACCCCCGUGGGGCCCACCA